CCUACGGGUGGCAGCAGUGGGGAAUAUUGCACAAUGGGCGAAACUCUGAUGCAGCAACGCCGCGUGAAGGAUGACUGUUUUCGGAUUGUAAACUUCUGUUUUUAUUGAAGAAUAAUGACGGUAGCUAAGGAGCAAGCCACGGCUAACUACGUGCCAGCAGCCGCGGUAAUACGUAGGUGGCAAGCGUGGUCCGGAAUUACUGGGUGUAAAGGGAGCGCAGGGGGGAAGCCAAGUCAGCUGUGAAAACUACGGGCUUAACUUGUAGACUGCAGUUGAAACUGGUUUUCUUGAGUGAAGUAGAGGUUGGCGGAAUUCGGGGUGUAGCGGUGAAAUGCGUAGAUAUUACGAGGAACACCGGUGGCGAAGGCAGCCAACUGGGCUUUAACUGACACUGAGGCUCGAAAGUGUGGGGAGCAAACAGGAUUAGAUACCCGGGUAGUC
rnacentral:rRNA from 1 species